rnacentral:miRNA from 1 species
GCAGACAUAUUCCAGCCAAUCAGCAGCAGACCCUCCCUCCCAGACCCUCCCACCUCCUGGACAGCAUCCAUUUUGCAUUCAUUGUGAAGCUGCAUUCUUAGUGAGCUGUCCAGGAGGUGGGAGGGUCUGGGAGGGAGGGUCUGCUGCUGAUUGGCUGGAAUGUGUCUG